GACGAACGCUGGCGGCGUGCUUAACACAUGCAAGUCGAGCGGAGCGGCGAACGGGUGAGUAACGCGUGAGUAACUGCCCCCCUCUCUGGGAUAACCGUUGGAAACGGCUGCUAAUACCGGAUAGUGGGGGAUGACUCGCGUCCUAUCAGCUUGUUGGUGGGGUAGUGGCCUACCCAGGCGGGGACGGGUAGCCGGCCUGCGAGGGUGACCGGCCACAUGGGGCGGAGAUACGGACCAGACUGCUACGGGAGGCAGCAGUGGGGGAUAUUGCACAAUGGGCGAAAGCCUGAUGCAGCGACGCCGCGUGGGGGAUGAAGGCUGUCGGGUUGUAAACCUCUUUCGCUAUCGAAAGGGUAGGUGGAGAAGAAGCGCCGGCUAACUACGUGCCAGCAGCCGCGGUAAUUC
rnacentral:rRNA from 1 species